ensembl:lncRNA
UGAAGAUUCAAUAAGGUUCAUUGUCAUUACACAAGAUAUUUACAAAAAUACACAGACGGAAAGCAGAUAUUAUUUCUACAGCAUCUACAGUGGAAUAAUAAAUUAAAAAAAAACAAUUAAACAAUACAAAACCUAAAUAAGGAUCAUUUUAGGGUGUCAUGAAUGUGGGCUCGAGGCACUUUCCCGUGUUCACUUUGUGCUUUCUCCUACAAAAACAACAAAAACAGGAGAGAGAAACAUUGAGUGCAGCUUCAGGGUUGAAAGCACGCUGUGACGGCUGAUGUUCAGGUGGGUGUGUCCCUGAACGCAGCAGACUGCCCCUUGCCUCAGACUGCUUUUGGCACGACACCAGAUUUACACAAAUCGAGUUUCCAGCAGCUUCAGGAGGGUCAGUUGUGAGUUAUUCAACAGAAAUGUCUCACAUCCUUCUUCUUCUUCUUCUUCUGACUUUUGAGACUGUGGAAUUAGAAGAGAUAAAAGUGAGGCCUAGACAAGAUGUCACUCUUCACUGUCAGGAUCCCAGUGGUGUAAAUAUCACUCUGUUAGAGUGGAGCAUACCUGAGAUUAAGUCAGACGGAUACGUCUUCUUCUACCGAAACGGGCGCUCAUAUGAAAGCUACCAGCAUGAGCGUUUUAAAGGCCGAGUGGAGCUGAAACACCCGUCUAUGAAAAACGGAGACGUUUCUGUGAUUCUCAAGAACGUCAACGUCAACGAUACAGGAACAUAUGAGUGUCGGAUUAUAACCAGUGAUCUCAGCAGCGGUCAGAGAGUUCAGAGUGAGUCCAGGCGGUCCAUCGACCUCACAGUCAUAGACUCUGGAGAUCCGACUGUAGAACACAAGGACAAGCAUGAUUUAAUUAUCAUUAUUGUUGCAGUUGUAAGUUGUCUUAUUGUUGGCGUUUGUGUUGCAGUAUUUUUCAUCCGAAAAUGGAAAUCAUCAACACGCGGCAACUCUUAUGAACAUCCACCUGAAAUGUUAAACAGUUGAUCUGAAAUGUUUGAGAAGAUGUGUGAAGCAUUGUUAUUUAGCGAGCAGACAGCAUAAACAGAGCGUCUGUUGACAGCACUCAACUCACAGCAACAAGGGUUCGAUGCACCGCUCCUCUGAUCUCGAGUCACAUUCGGGAGUCAUUUUCUCCCAACAACCAUUAAAAGUAACAUUACAUCAAUACUGUGGCUGCAACAAGCUUUUUAUAGACUUUAAAUCUGUUUAUUUUUCUUCUCCUUUUUUCUUUUAAGUUUAACUUUAUUCUGUGCAUUUUUCUGCAGAGCUUGAUUUUACCGUGAGAACAGCAGGUGAGCGUGGUGGAGCUUUUAGCAGGUAGAGAGGUGGAGGAGACAGACGUAGAGUAGAUCAGUUUAUGUAAGCUCUGAUUAGACGGGGCAUUAAAAUGGGGCCACAGUAGCACGGUUAGCAAGUUCUCUCAGUGAGUUAAGCACUUUAUUAACUUUAAGUUUUUAUUUUGCACUUUUAAACACUUGAUUUAUUUCUGUUUGUGGCAACUGCAGCCAAUCAGCCACCUUCCUGCUUUCUGUCCAUCGCCCCCAUUAGAAAUAAUGACUCAAUGUAAUCUAAUAUGUGAUUAUAGUAUACCCAUGAUAUUUAUUUAAAAAACAUACAAACCAUUAUCAUAAUGGUUUUAUUGUGUUAUUAUGUGAGUUGUGGAAAGUUCUGAGUUGGAUCUGUAAAUAUCAGAAACCUUAUCAGUGAUUUAAACUGAGCUGAUCUCACAUUCAGAUCUCCACCUCGGGCGUGGCUGUUUUUAGACUUCUGUCAUGACGUCUUCUUCUUGUUCCUCUGUGCAAAAUACACAGUUGAUCUUUCAGCGUUUUUCAUUUUCAGGACUUCACAUGAGCAUUAAUCUGGUGAAUAGAGAGGAUUUUCAAUCUGAAGACGUUUUAACACAAUCUGUUUCCUGUUCUGAUGCCUCAGGAUCUCGUCCUUUCUCCUGAUCUGCAUCCUCGCCUAUUGUGCUGCCUUAAGGCGUUGAAACUCAUCAGAAAACUGCUCAGUCGUGAAGUUCAGGUUGGUUUAAAAUCUAAUUUGUUUGUCGUUUGUACGUUUGAGGUCUGUGGUGAGGCUGCAGAGCGCUCUGUGGCAGAGGUCAGAGAGGGACUUCCUCUGAGAUCUAAAAGCAGCAGCUGCUCUGAAAACACUCCAGAGGUUUCUGAUUUUUAUCGAUCCGUUCUCAGGCCUUUUCAGAAUUUAUGUCUUUGACUAGUGUACUCAAUGUUAAUGUUUCACUUGUUGUUUUUUGUUUUGUUACCCACCACAUUUGUACUCCACCACAUUUGUACUCCACCGUCAGUACAAAUGUUGUGGAUCCAAUCUGACUCUGAGUGAUGAGCCGAGUCCAUUGUAAAUAUCCACUGUCAUACAAAGGAUAUUUGAAGAUCAAAAGGGGACAGUGCAAUGAGCAAAAUCAAAGUGGAAGAAGAUGGACGGAUGUUCAAAACUAAAACCUGAAUAAAUGAAAGUGAGCAGGACACGAGGUCGUAUCAGGAAUUUGAAGGAAGAUCGAGGUAUGAAAGCCUGUGGAGGGAAAUGGAGCCUCACUCUGUUUUUUGUUAUGUUUUCUUAUGUUAUGUGGCUCAAAUUAGGAGAUGAUACAUAUUUUCUGUGUAUUCGUAUGUAUGCAUUUGAACAUGUUCAUUUCUCUGUACCAUGUUUUUAUAUUUCUCCUUUGUUUGUUGUGACAUAAUUUUAUGAUAUUUAUUGUUGUUGAUCUGAUCACAGAAAUAAAAUGAGAGCCUCACAAGUAACAGAGUGAAGGGUUUGUUUGUUUGGUCUUAUUUCCUCUGGGGCCUUUUUUCUCUGUUUAAAGUAAAAAUGGGGAAAUUAUGUCAUUAACUUGAGCCUGUUUACAUCUGUGUAUUUCCUCUUCCUUCAUUUAAGUCUGAAUAACUCUGUAAUUCUCUGUGUUUUGUCCUAAAUACUUUCCUGUAAACAUCACUUUCUUAGUUAAUGUAGAAGUCCAGCAUUCAAAUAUGUUUAGAUUUCUA